rnacentral:rRNA from 1 species
UACGUAGGGUGCAAGCGUUAAUCGGAAUUACUGGGCGUAAAGCGUGCGCAGGCGGUUUUGUAAGUCUGACGUGAAAUCCCCGGGCUCAACCUGGGAAUUGCGUUGGAGACUGCAAGGCUGGAGUCUGGCAGAGGGGGGUAGAAUUCCACGUGUAGCAGUGAAAUGCGUAGAGAUGUGGAGGAACACCGAUGGCGCAAGGCAGCCCCCUGGGUCAAGACUGACGCUCAUGCACGAAAGCGUGGGGAGCAAACAGG